AUUGAACGCUGGCGGCAGGCUUAACACAUGCAAGUCGAGCGGGGGAAGGUAGCUUGCUACCGGACCUAGCGGCGGACGGGUGAGUAAUGCUUAGGAAUCUGCCUAUUAGUGGGGGACAACAUCUCGAAAGGGAUGCUAAUACCGCAUACGUCCUACGGGAGAAAGCAGGGGAUCUUCGGACCUUGCGCUAAUAGAUGAGCCUAAGUCGGAUUAGCUAGUUGGUGGGGUAAAGGCCUACCAAGGCGACGAUCUGUAGCGGGUCUGAGAGGAUGAGCCGCCACACUGGGACUGAGACACGGCCCAGACUCCUACGGGAGGCAGCAGUGGGAAUAUUGGACAAUGGGGGGAACCCUGAUCCAGCCAUGCCGCGUGUGUGAAGAAGGCCUUAUGGUUGUAAAGCACUUUAAGCGAGGAGGAGGCUACUCUAGUUAAUACCUAGGGAUAGUGGACGUUACUCGCAGAAUAAGCACCGGCUAACUCUGUGCCAGCCGCCGCGGUAA
rnacentral:rRNA from 1 species